rnacentral:rRNA from 1 species
UACGUAGGGUGCGAGCGUUGCCCGGAUUUAUUGGGCGUAAAGGGCGCGUAGGCGGGCCGUCAAGUCAGGGGUGAAAGCCCCCAGCUCAACUGGGGAAGUGCCUCUGAUACUGGUGGCCUCGAGGGAGGUAGGGGCGUGCGGAACUUCCGGUGGAGCGGUGAAAUGCGUAGAUAUCGGAAGGAACACCGGUGGCGAAAGCGGCGCGCUGGACCUCUUCUGACGCUGAGGCGCGAAAGCCAGGGGAGCGAACGGG